ACUAGGAAGAUCAGAGAGGCAGAAGGAUUAGUAGGGAGUUUAGCACGAUGAGAAGGAUCUUAUCCUUUCAAACAAUAUGUGUAUGCGCGCGCGUGUGUGUGAGCAUGAGCUAGAAACAAGUAGGGAUAUCAAAGAUGCCAGAAGUGAGUAGCCGAAAGCAUCACUAGCUUAUGCUUUGACCCGAGUAGCAUGGGGCGCAUGGAAUCCCGUGUGGAUCAGCAAUGACCACCUUCCAAGACAAAAUACUCCUGGGUGACCGAUAGCGAAGUAGUACCAUGAGGGAAAGGUGAAAAUAAUCCUCAAUGGGUAGUGAAAUAGAGCU
rnacentral:ncRNA from 1 species